CCCCUGGUGGUCCAGCGGCUAAGACUCUGCACUCCUAAUGCAGAGGGUCCAGGGUCAAUCCCUGGUCGGGGGA